AUGGACCUCACACACACACACACACACACACAGCUAGAGUCAGUCACGGGCGCGCACACACAAAUAGUACAAAUGGUAGGUAGAUUUGGAUUUGGAUUUGGAUUUAGGGUGCCACGAAUUCAAUUAACCGAGGCAAAGCAUCUCUCUCGACCAUACUAUAAUGUUUGUUAUCGAGACGAUGAUUCCCGAAGAGAUUGGGCGUGGAAGGAAUGGAUGAAGAGUUUGCGGCUGCAGGAAAGAGGAUCCCGGUCAACUUCCCUGCCACUGCCAUGGCUGGCACGCGAGCACGAGGCAGCAUCCAUGGAUACAGAUUCCUCCCUGCAGCUCCGCACUGCAGCAAAGAAGAAAGAAAGGAAGGAAGGGGAUCAUUACAGUCAGUAA
rnacentral:rRNA from 1 species